CUCGACAUUGCCAGAAGUGUGCAUCAUCAUGUCCCCAUGCCAUCUUCCAGUGAGGAAGCCUGAGCAGCUGGGGAGAGGCCCAUAUGGAGAAGAACCAAAGUCCCCAGUCCCCAGCCCCAGACCAGCUGAAUUCCCAGCUAACAUCCAGCACUAACUUGCCAGCCAAGAGAAUGACCUGUAUUGAAAGUGGAUUGUCCAGCCCCAGUUGGAGCCAUCUCAGCAGUUGCCAUGUGGAGCAGAUGCAAGUCAUUCCUGUCAAACUCUGUGCUUAUUUGUGAGCAAAAGAAAUAAUUGUUUUUGUUUUAAUCAACUUAGCUUUCAGGGAGUUUGUUACUGAGCAAUA
rnacentral:lncRNA from 10 species